UACGUAGGUGGCAAGCGUUGUCCGGAUUUAUUGGGUUUAAAGGGUGCGUAGGCGGUUCCUUAAGUCAGUGGUGAAAUACUUCAGCUCAACUGGAGAGGUGCCAUUGAUACUGGGGAACUUGAGUACUGAUGAGGUAGGCGGAAUGGACGGUGUAGCGGUGAAAUGCUUAGAUAUCGUCCAGAACACCGAUAGCGAAGGCAGCUUACUAAGCUGUAACUGACACUGAGGCACGAAAGUGUGGGGAUCAAACAGG
rnacentral:rRNA from 1 species